UAGGUGGAUAAUUUUGUGUAAAUAGGCUGCUGAAGAACUCAACUACCACUAGCAACUACUAAAAUAAGAAACAGGGAACGUAAUCUUGAGCUCAGUGAUCUCUUCUCAUGUGAGGUCAGUAAUCCAUUUUCAGGUUACGAUGACGGAUCUUACUCUCUGGUCGUGGCAAUCCCGUUCCACCUAAAAAUGGAGAAUGUCAAUAAGAACUGAAAUCAGCUUCAUGUCAGCUUCACAUACCGCCAGGACCUCCUACCAAUCCUGGUACACCUCCUGCUCCCAAGACACCUCCAGAUCCGGGUAAACCUGUCAAGCACUACCAGGAAGUCCUGGUCCAGCAAAUCCAGACCAGGGACCUCCUACAGUCCCUGGACCAUAACCACCAACUGGUCCUGCCCCCGUGCCAAAUCCUCCUGCUGGACCGGUUCCUACCUGACCCUGCAGACCAAGUCCUGGAGCACCUCCACUACCACCAGGAC